rnacentral:rRNA from 1 species
GGACUACUCGGGUUUCUAAUCCUGUUUGCUCCCCUUGCUCUCGCGCCUCAGCGUCAGGACGAAGCUAGAAAACCGCUUUCGCCACAGGUGUUCUUCCACAUAUCUACGCAUUUCACCGCUACACGUGGAAUUCCAUUUUCUCCGCCAUUCCUCUAGAUCUGUAGUUUCAAAUGCAGCUCCGGAAUUGAGCCCCGGAAUUUCACAUCUGACUUACAAACCCGCCUACGCGCCCUUUACGCCCAAUAAAUCCGAUUAAUGCUUGCACCCUCCGUAUUACCGCGGCUGCUGGCAC